UCCGCCGCUUACAGGUGGGUCCCACUCCGCACUGCAAUCCCUUCCCUUCCGCUUCCUCUCUCAAUCUCUUCUUGCCUCGUCUCUUCCCCCAAAUCGGGCGAAUCCCAAAUCAACCAAACCCUAGCCCGCGGCGGCCACCGCGAUGGCCACCUCCACGCGGCUGCGGCGGCGACGGCCGCCUCCGCCCCUUGCAUGCCUCCCCCACCGAGGAGCGGUGUGCCAGUGCCAGAGGCGGCGGCGGCGGCGACCGGAUCAUGGCGCUUCUCCUGUCGGUGGACGGCCGCAUAAGGUGUGGGGGUGACAUCGCGUCGGUCGAGCUCGACGGCGUGCGGUGACCUCCUCGGCGGCGCGUUCUCCCUCCUCCCUCUCCUCGAGUGGGGCCGCGCGGUUUCGUCGUCGUCCGCGACCACGCCGUUUCCAGGCACGUGCUAUGCGAGAAAGGGGCUCGUCGCCGAGGUAUCCGAGUUCCUCUUCGGUUCCGGGUUUUCCACCGCCUAGGACGCGCUCUGGAAGUGAAUAGAUGAAAGUACUACGUCAAGCUACAAAACCAAUUCAAGGCUAAGUAAGGUUAAUAUGGAGUACUGACAACUGGUCAAAUAUACUAUGGUGGCGCUUACUUUGCUGUAUCAUAGCCAUCUAUUCAGAGCAUGAGAAUGUUGGGCAAUGUCAGCUGGCUGCUGUCAGAGCAAUGAGGCCUUUCCAAAGCAAGCAAUUUAGCGACCAAAGAAGAGUCUUAUUCUCAAUGAUUAGCACCUCAGUAGGUAACCAAAGCAAGCAACAAAAAAACAGAACAAAGAGUGCAGUAAAGCACCUGGAGAUGAGGAUGUACCCGUUGCAGUUCUCGUUCAAAACUUUGACUAUACAGAGAAAAAGAUAUCAAUGAAUGAUCACCUACAAAGGUUUGCUUCAACUGCUCAGAAUGGUUCAAUGAAAUAUUCAAGAUCAGAUAGUUGAGGCAAGAAAAUACAAGUGCUUUUGAUUACUCUGAAUAUGAGCAUGACUGCUGUCUUUAGUGGGUAAAAACUGCGGUGGCAGAGGUAGAGGACACAAUGAUGACCAAGGAGAAGCUUGCAAGUAAGAUGGGGACUGGCUUUUGUCCAAAUACAAAGGUCAACUGCAACCGGUACUGCCGUCCUGGAACUGGCAGUAGGGGUGGAGACCUUGGCAGAAUUGAUUCAUGGAGAAGUCACUUCCCCCUGUGCUGUUUGGAACAAAUGAUCAACCAUGUCCAAUGCAGUGAAGUGAGAGCACCUUGGUAAUUGCUACUGUUGUUCUCUUUUCCAACACAAGUACAUAUGAUUUAACACAGAGAAUAUGGAGAACUACGUAUCUUGGCACUAAAGAAGGAGCAAGCUUGCAACUGAUGUUGCGAACUAAAGCUAUAUAUAACCUAUUCAGCCACCCAUAGGUGCUCCGGCAAGUUUCUAGGUCAACUUUGCAUUGUUUAUUUCCUUGAAACCAUCUUCACAUUAGCUUUUGGUCUUGUUUAUGAGCAAAACUGGACACAUAAUUGAAAUCACACUACUUUGGCCAUUAUGUCUCAUGCAAACUUAUGCUAAAUGUCAGGCCAUAUUAACACAAUAUAAGUGGAAUUUUUGCAAGAAGCUAAACACUUGCUAGCUUGUUAUUCUUUUCAAUUGCAUUCUCUAUAGAGAUGACAUUUCCUUUUAUCAAUUGUAAGGUGAUGUUCAUCCGAGGGAAAGGCAGGAGCAGAGAAGACGGAGUCAGGGACCUUGGAAUAGAAAGGGGAAUGUAUGGGGGGGGGGGGUGGAAUAGGAGAUGGAGUACAUGAUUUAUUAUUUUAGAACUUCAAGUAUUUUGCUUGGUGAUGUAUUUGUUAGGACUUGAGAUUUUUCACAAUAACCAUUGUACAUGGACUGUUGUCGGACUUUGUGCUGUUAAUUUGGUUUCAAUAUUUGUUUACCGCAUGCAUGACCCGUUUUCACAACAUUUGGCUGCAGCAGAUUGAGCAAAUUGAUACAGGAUGUA